rnacentral:rRNA from 1 species
AUACGGAGGGGGUUAGCGUUGUUCGGAAUUACUGGGCGUAAAGCGCACGUAGGCGGACUGGAAAGUUGGGGGUGAAAUCCCGGGGCUCAACCCCGGAACUGCCUCCAAAACUUCCAAUCUAGAGAUCGAGAGAGGUGAGUUGAAUUCCAAGUGUAGAGGUGAAAUUCGUAGAUAUUUGGAGGAACACCAGUGGCGAAGGCGGCUCACUGGCUCGAUACUGACGCUGAGGUGCGAAAGCGUGGGGAGCAAACAGGAUUAGAAACCCUAGUAGUCC